CGGAAAAGACGGAGGCUGGACUGUGACGGAGGCCGGAGCUGGUGGUAGCUAAAUCACUUUAGCUCACUAAGAGAACGGAGUGACUCAGUCCCAGAUGUUUCCUUGAAUUUCCCAUUGGAGAUCUGUUGGGAGAAACUUUUCUGUCCCUAGACUCGAGGUCCUCAAAGCAGCAUUUUUGGCCUCAUCUGUGAGCUUGACAGAAAUUGCCAACACCCAAGAAAAUGAGAUGCAAUGGAUUACAAUUGAAACUGUAACAAUGAGGACAAAAAGCAUUUUCAGAUCUCCAAGUUAAUUGUACAGCAGCUUCC